rnacentral:lncRNA from 1 species
UUUCAUCAGACACUUCAUCAGCACAGCAAAGAAAGUGAUGGAGAAACUGAGCCUCUCAUUCUCAUCUUAGAAGUAGGAAAAGGUGGAGGAGAACAGAAACUGGAGCAACCGGAACAGAACAUGUAGCUGAUGGGGACAGGAAACGCAGAAGAAGAGGCAGGAAAUACAUCAGACGUGACUCGCCAAUACAGCAGGAGGCCACAGCGGGGCAGACCAGAGACUGCAGAAAAGGAAGCAGCAGAAAAGAGGGCUGACUAGGCAGUUCUGUAUCGUGAUUGAGGGGAAACCCUCAUGACAGUCUCACUUACUCAACUAAUAUUGAUUGAACAUCCACUCUGUCUUGAACAUUUGUCUAAGUCCUAGGGGAUAAAUCAGUGAAGAAAACAAGAUAAAUAUUCCCCAUUUAUAAGACAAACGUCACAGAUGACAAGGGAUCAAAUUCUGAAUCUGCCACUUCUUUCUUGUGUGGCCUGGAGAAGUUAUUUAAUCAAAGCAAGUUUUAGUUUACCAGUCCAUCAACUGUUGUGAUAACGGUCUGUGUGUCACUGUGUAGCUGGAAGCCACAGAAACAUAAUGUGAAUCACUUGGCUCAGUGGACGGCACCUAAUUAUCCUCAAUAAACGUUAACUACACUAAGUAGGCUGUGGGCUACUUUUUCCAGAGAUGUGCAUAUGAUGGUAAUUAAAAGAGAUCUGA